rnacentral:lncRNA from 1 species
CACGAUCUCACUUACAUGUGGAAUCUAAAGAAGUUGAAUUCAUAAGGGUAAUGAGGGGAGGAAGGGGUGGUCAUACUGUGUGAAGGGAGAUAGUCACACUGAGGGAAGGUGGUCACACUGUGAGAAGGGAGGUAGUCACAUUGUGAGAGAAAAAGUGAUCACACUGUGUGAGGGGAGGUGGUCACACUGUGAGAGAAAAAGUAAUCAUACUGUGAAAGGGAGGUGGUCACGCUGAGAGGGGAGGUGGUCACACUGUGUCAGGGGAGGUGGUCACACUGUGAGAGAAAAAGUAAUCACACUGUGAGGGGAUGUGGUCACACUGAGAGGGGAGGUGGUCAGACUGUGUCAGAGGAGGUGGUCACACUGAGGGGAGGUGGUCACACUGUGAGAGGGGAGGUGGUCACACUGUGAGAGGGAAGGUGGUCACACUGUGAGAGGGAAGGUGGUCACACUGUGUGAGGGGAGGUGGUCACACUGUGAGGGGAGGUGGUCACAUUGUGAGAGGGAAGGGGGUCACUGUGAGAGGGGAGAAGGUCACACUAAGGGGAGGUAGUCACACUGUGAGGGGAGGUGAUCACACUAAGGGGAGGUGGUCACACUGUGAGAGGAGGUGGUCACACUGUGAGGGGUGGUCACACUGUGAGGGGAGGUCACACUGAGGGGAGGUAGUGACACUAUGAGCAGAGAUGGUCACACUGUGAGGGGAGGUGGUCACACUGAGGGGAGGUAGUGACACUGUGAGCAGAGAUGGUCACACUGUGAGGGGAGGUGGUCACACUGAGGGGAGGUGGUCACACUGUGAGGGGAGGUGGUCACACUGAGGGGAGGUGGUCACACUGUGAGGGGAGGUGGUCACACUGUGAGGGGAGGUGGUCACACUGAGGGGAGGUAGUGACACUGUGAGCAGAGAUGGUCACACUGUGAGGGGAGGGGGUCACACUGUGAGGGGGAAGGUGGUCACACUGUGAGAGGGGAGAAGGUCACACUAAGGGGAGGUAGUCACACUGUGAGGGGAGGUGAUCACACUAAGGGGAGGUGGUCACACUGUGAGAGGAGGUGGUCACACUGUGAGGGGAGGUCACACUGAGGGGAGGUAGUGACACUAUGAGCAGAGAUGGUCACACUGUGAGGGGAGGUGGUCACACUGAGGGGAGGUAGUGACACUGUGAGCAGAGAUGGUCACACUGUGAGGGGAGGUGGUCACACUGAGGGGAGGUAGUCACACUGUGAGGGGAGGUGGUCACACUGUGAGGGGAGGUGGUCACACUGAGGGGAGGUAGUGACACUGUGAGCAGAGAUGGUCACACUGUAAGGG